UUAUAAAGUGCAUCAGAGCAGACGACGAUCUUAACCUAUCGAGUCGCCCAUUAAAGCUCUCCUCAUUACAUUGUUUAGUCACUCUUAGUGGCUUGUUGGUGUCCGAUGACAGAUUCGGUAAUUUGCAUUCAGCGUUGCGUUAUUAAAUGUAUUCAUUGCUUGUCUAAGGUAUUGCCGAAUUUGCUAUAGAUUACAAAAGUGUGCAUGCUGCCGGGCGCGUGUUUUAAGUGGAGCCAACAGCCGGGUUUGAGAUGGAAGAAGUCGUGGAGAAAACCCCAGAUCAGCCACGAAGGAGCUGUAUUCAGAGACUAAGCUACUUUGUGGUAGACACCCUUGAGAGCUCCUUCUACAGGUAUGGCGAGUGUGUGGCGAGCCACCCAUGGCGGUACAUCGUCGGGUGUCUGGUGUUCACGGGCGUCGCCUGCGUGGGGUUCUUCAACUUCCACCAGGAGCACCGCCCGGAGAGACUUUGGAUACCUCAGAACUCUGACUACGUGAGGACUCUGGACUGGCAGGCGGAGAACUUCCCACAGGACCAGCGCAUGGAGUUAAUACUGUACGAGGCCGAGAAUGUCCUCACCGCUGACUACGUGAGGGAGAUGUACAGAGUCCACCAGCAGGUGACUAGUAUAGUGGUGAGCAACGCCCAGGGCAUCAACUACAGCCAGGACGACCUCUGCUUCAGAGUUCCUGCGUUGGGCGGCGAGCAGCGCCAGGAGCUACGUCGGAUCAAGCAGCAGAUUUUCCCCAACCGUGACCCCAACGAGGAUCUGGACUGGUCUCUGGUGUUCGACAAAUCUAUUUACUACCAGUUCUACACCAAGAUGCCCACGGCCUGCUUGGAGGUGGGCCUCCUGGAGGUGUGGGGGUACAACCCGGACCUGAUUCACAGCCUCACCGACGAAGACGUAUUGUAUGCCAUCAACACGGUCAAUAUGAGCGCGACGUUUUCCUAUCCAAUGAACUUCACGGAGUUUCUGGGCGGAGUGACAAGGAACGCGUCAGGUCACUUGACGGGGGCGCGGACGGCGCUGACGAUACUGGCCAUGCAGGUCAGCAGGACGAGGUUGGACGAGGUUAUCGCCAGCAGUGCAGGGCUUUCCGAUGAGGUGGACGCCGAACUCUUUGCCUGGGAGGGGGAGUAUAUUCGUGUCCUCAACAAUAACACCGGCAGACCGCAGGGACUCGGGGUCUUCAUACAGUCCCAGCGCAGCUUUGGGGAGAUCAGUGGAGACACCAUCCUGGGAGAUGUGGCGUUCCUGGUGGUGGGCAAUGUCACCCUCUUCAUUUAUGUGCAACUUAUGCUCGGCAAGUUCAACAUGGUGGAGAACAGGCCUCUGUUGUCGCUGCUGGGACUGUUAUCGACCUUCAUGGCGGUGGGGGUGUCAUUCGGGCUGUGCUCAGCGGUGGGGCUGCUCUACGGGCCCGUCCAUACCAUCCUGCCACUACUGAUGCUCGGCCUGGGCGUCGACGACAUGUUCGUCAUCGUCCAGUGUUGGCACAACCUCACCCGGCAGGAGCGUCGUCAGGAGAUGAAAAAAAGGGUCGGGUGCGCUCUCCGGCACGCAGGCGUGGCCAUCACAGUCACCUCCCUCACGGACUUCGCUGCCUUCAUCAUCGGCUCCACCACCGUCCUGCCAGCCCUCAGGUCCUUCUGCAUGUACUCCGCCAUCGGUAUCGCCACCCUCUACGUCUUCCAGGCUACCUUCUUCGUCGCCUGGUUCACUUUAGAUCAGACUCGGCUUGAAGACAAGCGCAAUGGGCUCAUCUGGUGCUACCAACACAAGAACUGGACACCCAACUCCUGCUCACAACGAGACCUCUGCCAGACCUUCUUUGAUAAGAUGUAUUCUCGGGUUCUGCUCAUGAAACCGAUCAAGGUGGCGGUGCUGGCGGUGACGGCCGUGAUGUUUGGUGCCAGUGUCUGGGGCGUUACCAACCUCCGCCAGGAGUUCAACCCCGUCUGGUUCAUUCCUCAGUCCUCCUACCUCUUCCAGUUCCUCUCCAGAAUCCUCACCUACUACCCCCAGGCAGGCGAGAGAGGAGCAGUAUACCUCGGGGCCCUCAACUACUCCCAGGAGUUUCAGAAGAUUGGUCAGCUGACGGCGGCGAUGAAGGAGAACGAAUACAUCUCCGCCGUGGACUCCUGGUAUGACUUGAUGGUUGGCUACACCAAGGACGACACUGGCGAGGACAUUGGUGGGAAGGCGCUCAAUGACACCUUCUUCAGGCAGGUGUUGUCAGCUUUCCUCUUCUCUCCCGCCGGCUCCCGCUUCCAGACCUACUUCCACUUCCAGGGCAACCUGACUGUCGCUCAGCCCACGCCUCCAGUCACAGCGUGCAAGUUCGACUACAGCCACAGGAUGCUUGAAGGACGGGAUGAACAGAUCACUGCUAUGGAUCAAAUCAAGCAGCUGGUGAAUGAUGCUGGAUUUUCAGGCAAACUUUGCAGCCCCACUGGCUAUGAUGUACAGCAGCUGGGAGACAAACAAGGUCAUCAUGGUGGAGCUGGUGAGGAACCUGAGCCUAGCCAUAGUGGCCGUGUUCCUCAUGACACUUGUUCUCAUCGCAAACCUCAUCACCUCCUGCUAUGUCCUCCUCUCCGUCACCAUUACUCUGGUGAACGUGAUGGCGCUGAUGACGUGGUGGGACCUAACCAUUGACAUCAUCACCUGCAUCAACCUGGUCCUCUGUAUAGGUCUGUGUGUCGACUACUCUGCCCACAUCGCUCUACACUUCAUGCAGGUGAGAGGUUCCCGGGAUGAGAGGGUCCGGCUGGCUGUCAAGGACAUGGGGCCACCUGUCAUCAAUGGCGCCUUCUCCACCUUCCUGGCCUUCGUCUUCCUCGCCAGGUCGGACUCCCAUGUCUUCCUCUCCUUCUU
rnacentral:misc_RNA from 1 species